rnacentral:lncRNA from 1 species
UUCAGAUCUGAUAAAAACUGUUUGCUCGGGAUUUCUUUGAUCAGAUUCACAGAAUCUUCAUCCUGGGAAAUAGAAAAUUAUUGUCGUGGCUAAAAUAAGGAAGUUGGCCAGUUUUAUUCUUCUUAAAUGAAACAUGGCUUGAGGGGUUUCUGUAAUGAAGUGGGGCUGCUUCGGAGGGUCAAAUUGACCCAGGGUUUCCCACGUUCGAUAAUUAGAAACAGGCUGUAUGAUGCAUGGACCUCCCAAGAGUCAGAGUUGCUGGGAUCUGUUUGUGGACAAUCGACACAUUUCCAAGACGACGCCUCUUCUGAUAUCGAAUCUUCGUUUUCUACGUAACAAUCGUCCUCUACCUCCUGUACAUCUUCCUGAAAAAAAAAUUUGAGCGAUAAUCAAAUACCUGAGUUAUUGUAUUCUAAU